AUUGAACGCUGGCGGCAGGCUUAACACAUGCAAGUCGAGCGGGGUGAAGUGCUUCGGUACUGAUCCUAGCGGCGGACGGGUGAGUAAUGCUUAGGAAUCUGCCAUUUAGUGGGGGACAACAUUCCGAAAGGAAUGCUAAUACCGCAUACGUCCUACGGGAGAAAGCAGGGGAUCUUCGGACCUUGCGCUAAAUGAUGAGCCUAAGUCGGAUUAGCUAGUUGGUGGGGUAAAGGCCUACCAAGGCGACGAUCUGUAGCGGGUCUGAGAGGAUGAACCGCCACACUGGGACUGAGACACGGCCCAGACUCCUACGGGAGGCAGCAGUGGGGAAUAUUGGACAAUGGGCGGAAGCCUGAUCCAGCCAUGCCGCGUGUGUGAAGAAGGCCUUUUGGUUGUAAAGCACUUUAAGCGAGGAGGAGGCUACCUGGAUUAAUACUCUAGGAUAGUGGACGUUACUCGCAGAAUAAGCACCGGCUAACUCUGUGCCAGCCGCCGCUGUAA
rnacentral:rRNA from 1 species